GGUAAACCAAUGUUCUUUGCAGAGGAGGAAAACAAAAAACUGAGCCUGUGGGCAGCAGGAGGAAAGUCUCAUUCGCCAGCAGGCAGCACCCUACACUGGCAGAAGCGGAAUCUGAGCCUCAACAGCCCUGGGCAGGAUUUGCACAAAGUCUCCCGUUUCAAGUUGCAUGUCUCCGGAGUCCCAGGAAGGCGCCCAGCUCAGUCUCCCUCUCAGAGCCCCAAGGAUUGAUAAGAAACCCUUUGUACCACCCAUAGGACACAAAGGACAUUGGCAAAAGGACACCAACUAAACAGAAAUAACCAACCAAGAAGGCAAUUCUAACACUGACACUGGGAAAGAAAACAGAUCCCUGGUCCCCAGAUGAUGACAUAGGUUCAGAGAGACUAAGUGUGUCAGCAAGAGGACAACCAAUAUUUACAGACAAGGCCUCCUGACCCCAAAUUCAGGACACUUUCCUCUCAUCUGAGAACUCCUGACCCUGCCUGUGGACUUUGAACAUCCAUGAGCCUUGUUGUCAUGUACCGGGAAGAAUUCAGGGAAGGAAAAAAUAGUUUCUACUAAAUAAAUAAACUGUUAAGCUCUUUUAUAGGCUGAAUUGUGUCCUCCAAAAUGCAUGUGUUGAAGCAAGCCCUAACAGCCGUGGGCAAACUACGCCCCGCGGGCCGGAU